CGUAGGGUGCGAGCGUUGUCCGGAAUUAUUGGGCGUAAAGAGCUUGUAGGCGGUUUGUCGCGUCGGAAGUGAAAACUCGGGGCUUAACUUCGAGCUUGCUUCCGAUACGGGCUGACUAGAGGAAGUUAGGGGAGAACGGAAUUCCUGGUGGAGCGGUGGAAUGCGCAGAUAUCAGGAGGAACACCGGUGGCGAAGGCGGUUCUCUGGGACUUUCCUGACGCUGAGAAGCGAAAGCGUGGGGAGCAAACAGGCUUAGAUACCCUGGUAGUCCCUGAG
rnacentral:rRNA from 1 species